UACGGAGGGGGCUAGCGUUGUUCGGAGUUACUGGGCGUAAAGGGCGCGUAGGCGGCGCACCAAGUCAGGCGUGAAAGCCCUGGGCUCAACCCGGGAAUUGCGCUUGAGACUGGUGUGCUUGAGUACGGGAGAGGAUAGUGGAAUUCCCAGUGUAGAGGUGAAAUUCGUAGAUAUUGGGAAGAACACCGGUGGCGAAGGCGGCUAUCUGGACCGUAACUGACGCUGAGGCGCGAAAGCGUUGGGGAGCAAACA
rnacentral:rRNA from 1 species